CUGGAACUGACAAGAUGGUGAGACUGAAAAGAUCCCAAGAGAACUAUGGAUCUUGCCUCCCUCUAGGAAGUCAUGUCUUCCCGGGCUCCUCUACACCUCAGCUGGGACGGGAUGUCCCCUGUGUGCUUAGAACCUGAAUGGUUCCUCCAUUGUACCCUGCGCCCCCGAUGGUGGAAAACUUUUAUUUCUUUCUCCUUGGAACGUAAACCCUGGCACAUCAUAAGCGUUGGCAUGAAAGGAGCACACCUGUUCUGAAGGGCUACUGAGACUUUCCUGUCCCAGAGCCAGCAAAGAACCUAAAUGCCACCAGUCUUUCCAAUUUUCUUGGGAAGUAAAAAAGCAGCCGAGUCAUAAAAAUGAAAUAAAGUUUUCACCUUUAAAAAAUGA